AGAGUUUGAUCCUGGCUCAGGAUGAACGCUAGCGACAGGCUUAACACAUGCAAGUCGAGGGGCAGCACAGGUAGCAAUACCGGGUGGCGACCGGCGCACGGGUGAGUAACGCGUAUGCAACUUGCCUAUCAGAGGGGGAUAACCCGGCGAAAGUCGGACUAAUACCGCAUGAAGCAGGGAUCCCGCAUGGGAAUAUUUGCUAAAGAUUCAUCGCUGAUAGAUAGGCAUGCGUUCCAUUAGGCAGUUGGCGGGGUAACGGCCCACCAAACCGACGAUGGAUAGGGGUUCUGAGAGGAAGGUCCCCCACAUUGGUACUGAGACACGGACCAAACUCCUACGGGAGGCAGCAGUGAGGAAUAUUGGUCAAUGGCCGAGAGGCUGAACCAGCCAAGUCGCGUGAGGGAUGAAGGUUCUAUGGAUCGUAAACCUCUUUUAUAAGGGAAUAAAGUGCGGGACGUGUCCCGUUUUGUAUGUACCUUAUGAAUAAGGAUCGGCUAACUCCGUGCCAGCAGCCGCGGUAAUACGGAGGAUCCGAGCGUUAUCCGGAUUUAUUGGGUUUAAAGGGUGCGUAGGCGGCCUUUUAAGUCAGCGGUGAAAGUCUGUGGCUCAACCAUAGAAUUGCCGUUGAAACUGGGGGGCUUGAGUAUGUUUGAGGCAGGCGGAAUGCGUGGUGUAGCGGUGAAAUGCAUAGAUAUCACGCAGAACCCCGAUUGCGAAGGCAGCCUGCCAAGCCAUUACUGACGCUGAUGCACGAAAGCGUGGGGAUCAAACAGGAUUAGAUACCCUGGUAGUCCACGCAGUAAACGAUGAUCACUAGCUGUUUGCGAUACACUGUAAGCGGCACAGCGAAAGCGUUAAGUGAUCCACCUGGGGAGUACGCCGGCAACGGUGAAACUCAAAGGAAUUGACGGGGGCCCGCACAAGCGGAGGAACAUGUGGUUUAAUUCGAUGAUACGCGAGGAACCUUACCCGGGUUUGAACGCAUUCGGACCGAGGUGGAAACACCUUUUCUAGCAAUAGCCGUUUGCGAGGUGCUGCAUGGUUGUCGUCAGCUCGUGCCGUGAGGUGUCGGCUUAAGUGCCAUAACGAGCGCAACCCUUGCCACUAGUUACUAACAGGUGAUGCUGAGGACUCUGGUGGGACUGCCAGCGUAAGCUGCGAGGAAGGCGGGGAUGACGUCAAAUCAGCACGGCCCUUACAUCCGGGGCGACACACGUGUUACAAUGGCGUGGACAAAGGGAGGCCACCUGGCGACAGGGAGCGAAUCCCCAAACCACGUCUCAGUUCGGAUCGGAGUCUGCAACCCGACUCCGUGAAGCUGGAUUCGCUAGUAAUCGCGCAUCAGCCAUGGCGCGGUGAAUACGUUCCCGGGCCUUGUACACACCGCCCGUCAAGCCAUGGGAGCCGGGGGUACCUGAAGUACGUAACCGCAAGGAGCGUCCUAGGGUAAAACUGGUGACUGGGGCUAAGUCGUAACAAGGUAGCCGUACCGGAAGGUGCGGCUG
rnacentral:rRNA from 1 species